AGUCCACAGCGACGGAAGGUUUGGCACCUCGAUGUCGGCUCAUCACGUCCUGGGGCUGUAGUAGGUCCCAAGGGUUGGGCUGUUCGCCCAUUAAAGUGGUACGCGAGCUGGGUUCAGAACGUCGUGGGACAGUUCGGUCCCUAUCCGUCGCAGGCGUAGGAAAUUUGAGAAGGCCUGUCCUUAGUACGAGAGGGCCGGGAUGGACGUACCUCUGGUGUACCAGUUGUCCUGCCAAGGGCAUGGCUGGGUAGCUA
rnacentral:rRNA from 1 species